UACGAAGGGGGCUAGCGUUGCUCGGAAUCACUGGGCGUAAAGGGUGCGUAGGCGGGUCUUUAAGUCAGGGGUGAAAUCCUGGAGCUCAACUCCAGAACUGCCUUUGAUACUGAGGAUCUUGAGUUCGGGAGAGGUGAGUGGAACUGCGAGUGUAGAGGUGAAAUUCGUAGAUAUUCGCAAGAACACCGGUGGCGAAGGCGGCCAACUGGACUGGUAUUGACGCUGAGGCGCGAAAGCGUGGGGAGCAAACAGG
rnacentral:rRNA from 1 species